UUCCGGUUGAUCCUGCCGGAUCCUACUGCUAUCGGGAUGAGACUAAAACAUGCUAGUUGUGCGCACCUUAGCUAUGUUAGGAGCGCAGCGAACGGCUCCGUAACACGUUGUCAAUCUAACCUUAGGAUAGGAAUAACCCCGGGAAACUGGGGCUAAUACCUGAUAGGCGAAAAAUUCUGGAAUGAUUUUUCACUCAAAGAGUUAUAGGAACAUGCUUCUUUAACUGCCUAAGGAUGAGACUGCGUCCGAUCAGGUUGUUGGUGGGGUGAUGGCCUACCAAGCCUAUAACCGGUACGGGCCCUGAGAGGGGGAGCCCGGAGAUGGGAACUGAGACAAGGUCCCAGACCCUAAGGGGUGCAGCAGUUGCGAAACCUCUACAAUACACGAAAGUGUGAUAGGGUUAUCCCGAGUGCCGUCCGAUGAGGAUGGCUUUUACCUGGUGUAAGGAGCCAGGAGAAUAAAGGGGGGGCAAGACUGGUGUCAGCCGCCGCGGUAAUACCAGCCCCCUGAGUGGUAGGGAUGAUUAUUUGGCCUAAAGCGUCCGUAGCCGGCUCAGCAAGUCUUUCGUUAAAUCCGGUGACUUAAUCAUCGGGCCGCGAGAGAUACUACUAGGCUUGAGGGCGGGAGAGGUCGACGGUAGUCCAGGGGUAGGGGUGAAAUCCUAUAAUCCUUGGAGGACCACCAGUGGCGAAGGCGGUCGACUAGAACGUGCCUGACGGUGAGGGACGAAAGCUGGGGGAGCGAACCGGAUUAGAUACCCGGGUAGUCCCAGCUGUAAACGAUGCGGGCUAGUGUUGGGGCAGCCACGAGCUGCUCCAGUGCCGCAGAGAAGUUGUUAAGCCCGCCGCCUGGGGAGUACGGCCGCAGGCUGAUACUUACACGGACUUGACGGGGGAGCACCACACGGGUGAAGCUGCAAUUAAUUGAAGUCAACGCG
rnacentral:rRNA from 1 species